GAUGAACGCUGGCGGCGCGCCUAACACAUGCAAGUCGAGCGAACAGACGAGGAGCUUGUUCCUCUGACGUUAGCGGCUGACGGGUGAGUAACACGUGGAUAACCUACCUAUAAGACUGGGGUAAUUUCGGGAGACCGGAGCUAAUACCACAGAAUAUAUUCAACCGCAUGGUUCAAGAGUGAAAGGCGGCUUUGCUGUCACUUAUAGCUGGAUCCGCGCCGCAUUAGCUAGUUGGUAAGGUAACGGCUUACCAAGGCGACGAUGCGUAGCCGACCUGAGAGGGUGAUCGGCCACACUGGAACUGAGAGACGGUCCAGACUCCUACGGGAGGCAGCAGUAGGGAAUCUUGCGCAAUGGGCGAAAGCCUGAUGGAGCAACACCGCGUGAGUGAUGAAGGUCUUCGGAUCGUAAAGCUCUGUUGUUAGGGAAGAACAAAAGUGUAAGUAACUAUGCACGUAUUGACGGUACCUAAUCAAAAAGCACCGGCUAACUACGUG
rnacentral:rRNA from 1 species